rnacentral:rRNA from 1 species
UACGGGGGGGGGUAAGCGUUGUUCGGAAUUACUGGGCGUAAAGGGCUCGUAGGCGGCCAACUAAGUCAGACGUGAAAUCCCUCAGCUUAACUGGGGAACUGCGUCUGAUACUGGAUGGCUUGGAUUCGGGAGAGGAAUGCGGAAUUCCAGGUGUAGCGGUGAAAUGCGUAGAUAUCUGGAGGAACACCGGUGGCGAAGGCGGCAUCCUGGACCGGUAUUGACGCUGAGGCGCGAAAGCUAGGGGAGCAAACGGG